rnacentral:lncRNA from 1 species
GGGGGACACUGGGAGGGACUGGGUGAGAAAUGGGGGAUACUGGGAGGGACUGGGUGGGAAAUGGGGGGGACUGGGAGCUACUGGGAAGGAAGGGGGUGGACCUGAAGAGUCUGGGAGGGAGCUGGAGAGAGCGUUACUGGUCUGAACUGGGAGUUACUGGUCGGUAGUGGGGGUUACUGGUCCAUACUGGGGGCUACUGGUCCAUACUGGUCCAUACUGGUCUCUCCCCCCCCAGUGCCCCCAGCCAAUCCAGUGCUGGAGCUGCCCGAGGGGGCGGAGCUUCCAUGGCGAGAGGGGGUGGAGCUGGAGGUGCGGUGCCGAGUGGGCGGGGCCAGGCCGGCAGCCAAUCUGCGGCUGGAAUUGGGGGGGGAGGCGCUGCCUGAGGUCUCAUCCCACGUCACUGAGGAUGACAGCGACCCCCGGCUGAGCACCACAAAGGUCACAGUCCGGUGAGCACCAGUAUACACCAGUAUACACCAGUAUACACCAGUGUAGAUGAGUACAGACCAAUACAAACCAGUAUAAACCAGUAUAGAUGAGUAUAGAUCAAUACAAACCAGUGUAGACCAGCAUAAACCAGUAUAGAUGAGCACAGAUCAGAGUAGACCAGUAUAGACCAGUAUGGAUGAGAACAGACCAGUAUAGACCAGUAUAAAUGAGUUCAGACCAGUAUAGAUGAGUAUAGAUCAAUGCAAACCAGUGUAGACCAGUAUAACCCAGUAUAGAUGAGAACAGACCAGUAUAGACCAGUAUAGACCAGUAUGGAUGAGAACAGACCAGUAUAGACCAGUAUAGAGGUGUUUAGACCAGUACAGAUGAGUAUAGACCAAUGCAAACCAGUGUAGACCAGUAUAAACCAGUAUAGAUGAGCACAGAUCAGAGUAGACCAUUAUAGACCAGUAUGGAUGAGAACAGACCAGUAUGGACCAGUAUAAAUGAGUUUAGACCAGUAUAGAUGAGUAUAGACCAGUACAAACCAGUGUAGACCAGUAUAAACCAGUAUAGAUGAGCACAGAUCAGAACAGACCAGUGUAGACCAGUAUGGAUGAGAACAGACCAGUAUAAACCAGUAUAGAGGUGUUUAGACCCGUAUAGAUGAGUAUAGACCAAUGCAAACCAGUAUAAACCAGUAUAGACCAGUAUAGAUGAGCACAGAUCAAAACAGACCAGUGCAGACCAGUAUAUACCAGUACAGACCAGUAUAGGUCUCUACAGACCACUGUGCACCAGUGCAGAGCAGCACAGACCAGUAUGGACCAGUAUGCACCAACUGACCAGUAUGGUCCAGUACAGACCAGUACAGCCCACUGUCACCCAGUAUGAGACAAUCUGAACCAGUAUGGCCCAGCCUGGCCCAUCCCAGUCCAUCCCAGUUCCUCCCAGUUGACCCCAGUCCCUCUCAGUCCCAUCCCAUCCCAGUCUCUCCCAGUUGAUCCCAGUCCCCCCCAGUCCC